AUAUAACUAGGCGGAGGAAAAGAAAUUAAUGAAGAUUUCCUUAGUAACGGCGAGUGAAACGGAAACAGUUCAGCGCUGAAUCCCUUAGCCGAUGGUUAAGGGACCUGUGGCGUGAAGGAGAGCCUAUCUGUCGGGUUAUUGCCUCGGAAGCUCCCUCGAAUGGGACCCCGAAGUAGGUGCGAGGCCUGUGCCGAGGUUGGACCCGUCAGUUUGAGCCUCCCUAGAGUCGGGUUGUUUUGUAUUGCAGCCCUAAGUGGGAGAUAAACUUCUUCUAAGGCUAAAUACCUAUGGGAGACCGAUAGCGCACAAGUA
rnacentral:rRNA from 1 species